GGCGGGGAGACGGGCUCUGCAGAAGCCUGGAUGAUACUUAUCUCUGGCAUUCAAGGACUGACAUUUCCUUGAAGUGAAACAUUUGAACUCUGUCUUUUAAAGCUCUGUGACUGGCCCCAGUACAUCCUUCACCAGAUUCUUCUCACGCCUCCUUCCUUGUUGUCAUCCGGGUCUCAGGCUAACCGCACCUUCCCCAGAGACGCCUUCUCUGAGCACCAAAAGCAGCUUCUCUCGCGUUCCCAGCUCUGACCACAGACGCAUUUUAUUUUCGCAAUGGCACUUACCAUCUCCGAAUCCCCUGGAUUAUUUGUUUGUGUACAUGUUUAUCUCCUCCCACCCCACACCCCUGUGAGGUCUUUUCCAUCUUGUUUUCAGCUGUAUCCUCCACGCCUGGAACAGUCCUGCAUGAGGUGCAUAUUUUUGGGAUGGACGGAUCGAAGGAUGGAGCCCAAGAUCCUGAGCCAUCAUAUACUCUCUGUACUUUCAAAAUAACGGAAACUCGUGUGUUUUGUAUUUCUGUCAUGGAGGUUAAUGGGGGGAGGAGGGUAUGAUUUAUUUAUUUAGUUGGAUAAUAACCCCAAAUGCUCUAAAAGCAGAGUUUUAAAACUUAAAGAGAUAUACAAUCUUACUAUCUAUAAUUUCUCUUUAUUAACAUCAAGGCACUUUUGAAAGAAGUUGAAGUGUGCAGAAAACCUAGUAUGUGAUACAGAUCCCUCUUUCUCAUAAACAUGUUUUAAGUUGAUGUAGCAAAAUAUCGUUAUGCAAGCAAUCAGAAAUUGCUUCCUGAGCACACAGCAGGUACUACAUACUGGAGAAGUAGCUGUGGACAAGGUAAGUGCAGUUUGCGCCACCCUAAGGGAGCCACAGUUUUGCAGGGGAACCAGAUAAGAAACUGUUCAAAACGUGUGUGAUAGUGUGAUGACAGAUCUGUCCAGAGUUCCACAGGAACAUGUGGUGUAGGGCUCACCCCGGGCUGGGGUGGAGGGUGGGUGAUGGGCAGUACAGCCUAGCUGAGAUCUGCGGGUGAGUUAGCUGAGCAAAGCAGGGCAGGGGCAGAGGGAGUGUGAGGCAAAGAAAUCAGCAGGUAUGAAAAGGAGCCAGUGAAGGAGUCCCAUGCAGAGGUCAGGCCAGAGCAGCACACACUGACCACAUCACACAGCACGGAGAUCAGCUAACGGGCUCUGGGCCACUGGGCAGCCUGCUUCUUCCAACUGAAUUCCUCUCCCCAUCGUCCCAACAUUUGUGGAUCUAAUUCCUUUCUACCAAUGCACAGCCUACACAUCACCUUUUCCGGGAAGCCUAUCCUGAUCUUCCAGAAGGAAGAAACUUCUCUCUCCUUUGAACUCCUAUUGUCCAUUACUUUAUUUACAGGCUGCCCAGAUGACCAAGCAGGUUGCGCACCGCACAACUUACCCAACCACAUGCGACAGCUCUACCUACACAUAUGUAUUUAUGAACACACCACAUCUUUCCCACUAGUCCUUAAGCAACUCAAGGACAUAAUUCUCAUUGGCUUUACCUGUGUAUUUCCUAUUGUGCCCAAAACAUGUCACUGGAUUAAUAAACCAAUUUCCUGUAUCAGUACGAAUUUGGAAUGUAAAUGAUUUGUUAGUUCAUUGAGAAAUAUCAAGAAAACCUAUAGAAAUAUUCUGGAAAAUGGAUGAGAACUUGUCAAAGCUGAGUCCUUAACAGUGUUCGGAUGUGGUGAGCGUGAGAGACUGACCCUACCAUGUGCCACGAAGCUCAGUUCAUUUAGCCGUUUUCUAUUUCAAUUUUAAACUUCACUUCUUCUUGUCUCAUGACUAUCUCAUGACUUCAAAGGAUUCGCAAGAACCCAAUCUGUUGGCGUCACCAGUGAGUUUAUUGUUUCUGGCAGUUCCCCAAGUGCGUUGGGCCUUCUCAUUAAGAAGCUGUUCCAGUAACGCAUAUUCAAAACGCUAAAUUAUCAGCACUAUUUAUACUUAGAGAUUCUAGAUCAUAGGAGCUGCCCCAUCUUUUUAUCUUUUCUUUUUUUCAACAGCAUCACUGUCAUUAGAACUGUACAUCUGUUAACCAGAAGGCCAACCUGACUUCAGCUCUUGACUGCUUUCCUGACGGCUGUGUUGAAAAUGCCACAUCUCACUGCCAUCUGCUGCCAUCAGCUUCCGAGAUCUUUCCAGGCGAUCUGUGCUAAAGAGUGUGUGUGUGUAGAUGUGUGUGUGCGCAUGCGUGCAUAUGCGUAUGUGUGUGUGUUGAAAGACAUAUACGAGGGAAUUUUUUUUCUUGAAAUUACUUUCAGCAACUCAGAAAAGCUUCGUUUGUAUCCCCUCCCUUAUUCUAUUACAUUUCCGUGACAGUGUCACCAUUUGGGAAGGCGUCCGUUCUCCAUAGAAUUCUACUUUUCUCUCAAGGCUUUUUCACAUACAUACAGUUUGUCUUUUCAGAAAACAAAACCUCUUCUAGCUCCACUCAUCUAUCUUGGUGGAUUUGAGAGGCUCCAGGAAACGCCUGGCCAAGCGAAAUCAUUUUUGGAGCUGGUGAUCCUCUCCAAGUUCGCCUGUGAGGCUGCAGCGCCGACGGCAGCUGUUGAAACACAGAUGCAAUCCAGGAGCAGCACCACGGUCAGCCCUGAGACCUUAAAUUAGUUCAUUAAGGGGAGGAAAUGAGUGUUGCCAGAUGGUCUCAGUGAAAGCCCUGGACAUGUAAUUAAAAUGUGUAGAAAAACGUAAAUUUUUAAAAUUCACCAGAUUUCCGUUCUUACCAACUCAAAGCUAACUCUGCUGCGUUCCUAGAGGGACGGGCUCCUCAGGCCGCAGUUCGCGCUCCCCAUGUCAGCGGUUGCCCUGAAGUUGAAACAGAACAUGUCAUUGAUUUUACCAAAUUUGGAGAGGUGGUAUCUUCGCUGGGGGUGGGGGUGGGGAAACUUAUGAUGCAUUAUCAAUACGUGCUCCUGCCUCAGGGAGUGUGAACAUCUCACCCAAGGAGACAAAUAUCCAACAAAGGACACAACCCCCAGAUUCGGAUGUGGGGUCCUCGCGGAGGGCUUAUUCACACACAAAAGUACCAAGAUGCUUCUCACUGAACUGGAAACUGUGGAAGUGUUGUUGUACUCCCUGUGUCUUGCCAAGAGGAGUGAGUCAUCAGAUUUCUCAGAAUAAGCCCAAAUCAGACGUUACAAGUGAAUUUUCAGUAGGAAAGUUCUCUGGGUAUUUGAAGCCCUUUGUGUGUACGUUGCAUGUUUCAGAGGUAAACGUUUUAGGUUUUUGAACUAAGUAGUCCCUCCGUGAAGCAGAAAUUAUUUUUGUAGCAACAACCUUACUGUCAAUUUCUUUUCUCAAAAUAUUUUGAAAGGAAAUUUAUUCAACAAAUCUUUAAGUGUCUAUAGCGUGCCAGACACUCUUCUACAUGCUGGAUAUGGAACUAUAUAUAUAUCAGAAAGAUGAGGCAAAAGGAAAACAAACUGAAUGAGAAUUUAAAACUAAAGAUUUUAUAUUUAAGGUUUCUUGAUAAAGCUACCUAGCUACCUCAUAUUUGAUGAGAAUCAAGAAAGCUGAGCCAACACUGUCCUGAAUCAAAGGUUGAUAACAGAGACAUCCAGCCCCACUGUGCAGUUCCACCCACUGGCUGGUGGGCCACACUAACGUGAGCUGGGAGCCACGUCUCCCCAGGCUGCUCUGCGCAGAGACACCUGUCCUGAGAUGCAAUGAGACUGACAUCCAAACAGCAAGUUGGCCCAGGAAUAUGUGGCACAGGCCAGAGAGUGAGCGCAAAGCCUUCCCCAGGGAGAACGUCUGUUUCCGAGGCCUGCCAGGGAGCGCAAACAAUACAAUUUGUUUAAUUAGGAAAAUAAAUUUUCAUUUAAAAAAAAGCUUGUUUUACAGAGAGGAACCUCUGUAUCAACUAUUCAGAUCAUUCCGAGGCUCUUAGCAAACUUCAGUGAAAUGUAGAUAAAAUUGUGUACCAACUCGCCUGGUUGUCUGUACCCCGACAUGUAGAGGGAAGAAUGAGUUUACAGGGCUCCAAAGAAGGUGGUGACACUCCCUGGUGGGUGGGGAGGAAGAAGAGAAAUUUAAGCAGAAGGAUGGAAAAACCAACAGACAAACGUGGCUGACCUCACACAUUUAGCUGGGGUUGGCCCUGAAUUCAUUCUGAAAACCCUCCCAGCAUUGAGCUGCUCAGGGAAAUACUGAGUAUGUAGAGGGAACAAACUGUUGAGUUUGCUUGGAAACACAGGGUCAUGAAAGGGGAGCAGCGGCUGGAAAAAUAGUCUGGUAUCUUAACAGAAGGGCUCUGAAUGGCCUGUCAAGUUACUUAGACCUCAUUCAUUUAUUCACUCAAUGAAUAUGUCAAUAAAUCUACCGUGUGUCAGGAGCUGUUGCAGGCAAUGGGAAUUCAGUGGUAAACAAGAUGGAGAAGGGCCUAUACUUCUGUUUUACAGAGGGUGGGUGGGGAGAAAAAAUCAACAAGAAGACAAACAAGAAAAUAUCAGGUGUUGAGUGCUAUGAAAAAUACACCAAGGACUGUGAUAGAGAUGGCUGCGUGGAUGGGGCUGCUACUAGGCGGCCAAAGAAGACCUCUCCAAAGAGGUAGCACUCGGGCUGAGACUGGGAUGCCAAGAAGGAAGCAUCCCUGAGAAGGUCUUAGGAAACUGUCCAGGGAGGUGGAACAGGCUCUGAGGUGGGAACAGUGACUGAAGGGGAGCAGGGAUGAUGGGGUCAAGUGAGGUGGGCAGAGGGCAGUUCGUACAGGCCCCUGCAGGUCAUGGUAAGUGAUUUGUGCGUUUUUCUAAGUGCAAUGGAAGGUAAUGGAAUGUUUUAAUUAGACACACGUUGAGAUAUGGUGGGCAGUUUUUUAAAAGUCCAUUCUAUUGCUUUUUUACGUGAAAAAUGGAUUCGAGAUGGGCAAACUCAGAAACAGGGAGACCAGUUUCAAUACUUAACAAGAAGCCUAUUUUGAUAGUUGAUUGAGGGGCCCUGGCACCGUGGACUAGGAAGGUAACAGAGGAAGUAGAGUGAAGUAGACAGAUUUUGGUAUAUUUUGAAGGCAGAUCUGCUAGGACCUGAUUACGAAAAAUAGGAGGGAAAGAGAGGAAUCAAGAAUGACUCGGAGCUCCAGUUUCCGCAGUGAGGUGGAGAUGGAGAACGCCGGGGGUGAGCAGACUUCAAGGGGAUCGUCUCCAGGUGAUGAGGGCCAUUUAAGUUUUGUUCAUCUGGUUUUUUGAGCAGGAGAAUGGUAUGAUCAGAGUUACACUUCAGGGAGACGAAAGGUAUCUAGGAAGGGUGUGUGAAAGAUUCGGGGACAUGGGUUCUUAGUCUUAGUUCUAACAUUAGUCAGCCAGGUGACACUAAAAGGUACUUUAGCUCCCUUUGGAUUAUUACCAUUCACAAUUGUUUACUAAAGCUUCCUGAGUACCGGAAACUAAGGUAGGAGCUAUGAACACCGAGAUGACUGGACAUAGUCCCUAGUGGAGGAGCUUGCAGGGUACCUGGAGUCAUAGCAAGAGCACCUCUAACUCCAAGACUGAGCUUUAAGUUUCACAGUUGUGUUUUUGGUGCAAAACCCAAGUGUUGUAGGAGUUCCAAAACUAAGAGGAUUCUGUCUGCCUAGGGAGGUGCAGUGGGCUGGGGAAGUUGUCUGGGGAAGUUCUUGGGCUUUAAAGGAUGGGUUGGAUAAGAGGGAUUUGGUCGUGGUUACAAAGUCACCUCAGAGUCCCUCUGCAUGCUAAUUAGAUGUGGCUGGAUGCUCCCCACCAUUUCUGCAUACAUUUUAAUUUUCCUCAUCUUCUCCACAGUGACUGGUAGCUGUUUUUUUAGGGCUUCAGCUAUUAUUAGGGGGAGAUAUUGUGAAGCAAAUUAUCAACAGAUGACACCCUCUCAUGCAUAGGGAUGUCGAGCCACGCUGUGGGCAGAGGAAAUACUCUGAACAAGGCCAUAGAGCAUGGGGAGAAACUGAGAGCAUCAGAUGUGGAAACUAGGGGUAAAGCCAACUUCAUUUCUUUCUGUGACUCACCAGUUUGCAUUUUAAAAAUGCCUGAGGCUUUGCCAUCAAAGAUCCUGAAUUAUUCAUCUGUAGUCCAGGGUCUAGCACAGGAAAGAAUGGGCACUCAAAAAGGUGUUCUCUUUACUUCUUUGGAUUGGCAAACCCUGUUGUUGCUGCUGUUUCACGUGCCACUGAAGCUGAGACAACUUGAUGGAAAGCAAAACUGGAGGCGGGGUGUGGAAAAGCAAUCCACCUUCGGCUUUUCUUGAGGACGGCUGUUGAAUAGUCCUCUUUCCUUCUCAACCCUUCAAAUUUUUACCCCUUUUGAUGGCAAAAGAUUGCUCAGGGCAUAAUGCAAAGCUGGCAGGUGUCGCUUCCUGUUUGGAUAGGUGAGAAGGAGCAGGCAGGAAAACUGCAGGGAACACGUUCCAGGCAGAGGAGCUGCUGUCAGCGGAGCCAGGGAGGGGCCUGCGGGCCGGGUCCCAUCAGCCCAGCAGAAGAUGCUGUUUCGAACGGGACCGCUCCUACCCAAUCGAGAUAGAAAGCUACAUACUAUUAUUCAUUAUCCAACUCCAUUGUCCAUUUUCGUAUUCACUCUUUUUUCCCCCCAGGAAACCUUUACUUUCUGCUUAAAGAGGAAUCACAAAUGGGCUGAGAGUGGAAGCGCUCACUUUCACGACAGAAUUCAGGAAAUAGGAACCAUGCUACCUAGUGAUCUUGCCUGUUCAACCUGUUCUUGCUUUUAUAAGUGACCCUGUAAUCUGUUACCUUUUUCUCUCAUUCCUCACGUUAGCACACUGGAAUAAGCAUAAUUUGUUUUUCGUUUCUUAUCAGUUUUCAAAAAAAUAGCACACCUUUCAAACUCUUAAAAUAUUUAUAAGCAUAAGGCUUCCUUGUUCAAUGGAGGGAAAUAAGAACACAGAUAGACACUAAUUCUGUAACACUGCUGAACUUAGCGAUUGGUGAGCCUGUGUGGUGUGCAAUCACUGUGCCAUGCUGGACAGGAAGCACGCUUUCCCUGUGAGCUGCAAUAAGCAUGAGGUAAAUGUGCUGAAGAUUCAUUAUGAUUUCACAAUGAUUUUUCACCUAGAAAAAUAAAAGAAAAAACAAAGCUUUGUUUUAAAAAAAGAAAUAUAGAUAGAGAAAAAGAAAUAGAAUCACAUGUAACCUCACUUUUAAAAUAACCACUAUGAAUACGUUGUAAAUAAAUUUCUUGUUCUUUCCAACAUGUACGUAUACGGAGAAGCAUUAAACUAUACAAGCUCAUCUCCAAACUGCUUUUGUCUCUUAGCAAUCUAAUGUUUUUAAGUGUGAUUGUAAAAUCGCAAAACAAAUUUAUAAAUGUUAAUUUUGAGUUCUCAAAAAUUUCCCAAGUAGUUGUGAGAGUUUCUAAAAAUAAUCUUCUUGGCCAUAUUUCUCUCCCCAAAGUACCAAGCUCUUUUCUACUUUACUGCUUCUCUUAUUGAGAUCAAGAACAGAAGUGUGACCGUGUCCUCCCCUCCCCCUUCCCCGUGGCAGCAUCUUUGCCACUGCUUGUGGCAUCUAACGUGUGGGAGAAAGCACGUGAUGCUUGAUGCCUGAGAUACAGGUGUUUGCACCGAGUGUGCCAUGCCCUGCCUUUAUGAACAUAAUUGAAACUAAUGGAGAUGUUGAGUUUUGUUCUCAAUGAGCCUGGUAUUUUGUUCUUUACUCUAUUUUUUGUCAAAGCUCCCCUUGCCCUAGUGCUCGUGCGUUCAUCUGUUCAUUCAACAAGUACAUGGUCCCAGAAAUACAGAGAUGGUAGAAAGCAAUACAGACAUGACCCCUGGGCUCACGGAGCCUCUGUCAAGUAGAGGAAACAGGCCUUCGGUUGCACACACCCCUACGAAUGCAUAAUUUUCCUAGGAAGGAGACUACAGGUGCUGUGCAGGAGAACAGCAGAGGGAGCACAGUCGAUGCUGCGGACUCAAGGAGGCUGCCCUCAGAUGGUGAGUCAGUGGGUGCUGGAGAAGCAUAACCUGGACCUCCAGCACCAGCUGGUCCCACAAUCAUUUUCCCCUGAUGCUCUGGCCCAUCUUCCUAGAAGUCACCUUCUAAACCCAGCCUCUCUUCUUAGAAUAAGCUCUUCCUCCAAGACUCCUCCGUCCUUUGAUAAAAGAAUUCUGUUGGGCUGUCCCUCAGAACUCUACAUAUCUAGAAUCCUGCAAUAAACUCAGUUUAUAAACACAGUUUCAAAUCUAUCCAUUUUCAUACCUUCCCAUACAAUGAUGGUUAGAAAGAGCUUCUCAGUAAAGACAAGCUAAUAUCCAGUCUAGAUGAUUUUUGUAAUGGAAGCAACUACUUCAUGAACUAUCUAUUAGAGUGCUAACACUACUCAGUGGUACUCUGUGGUACAAGGAUCGUACAAUGGCUUUCAUAACUGUAGAAGAAUAAUGGAUUGGAAGAAAAGAGAAGUUCUCUUAUUUUUCCUCAAACACGUUUGCUUUUGUCCUGUGAAUAACAGAGAAUUUUCACAGGAGGGCUAGAGGAAGACUGACAGAGAAGGAGGGAUCGAGGGGGGGAGAGGGACCGAGAGAGAGAACGAAACGGUUAUGGUAUUUUAAUUACUACGGUUGUUUGUGCUCUCCAGUUUUCCCUGACUUAAUGAAUGAGAUACAGUUGUACUCCAGUACCUUUCAUUUAUAGAGUUAGGCAAAUGUCUCUUGCUCCAUCUUUUUGAACAAUUUCAUUUUUCUUUAAUGACAUUUCUCUGUACUCUCCUUCUCUAUGCACAGACUGGGUGACAGGGGCUUUUAAUAGGUAAUGAUUGUUUCAUAAUAGAAUCUGAUGAUAACCUUGGCCUCAUAAAGUCUUGCACAUGCGUUGGAGCCAUUUAUGAAAAUAUAUGAAUCAAUGACAGAGCUGCUGUGUUUUAGGUGAACGGCAGCUAGAAGCACAGCCUUUUAAAACAGCUCGUGGGCUUCUGAGCAUGACUUCCGCGUGGGAACGAGAAGACAGACGCGCACAGCUGAGUGAGUUGUCAAUGGGAAUGUUGUGAAUUAAAGCAGAGCUCAAGGGGGUCACAAAAAUUAGAGGCCAUUGGGGCCGGCCCUGUGGCUGAGUGCUUAAGCUUGUGCGCUCUGCUUCGGUGGCCCAGGGUUUCGCAGGUUCAGAUCCCGGGUGUGGAUCUAGCGUUGCUCAUCAAGCCAUGCUGAGGAGGCGUCUCACCUGCCACAACUAGAAGGACCCACAGCUAAAAAUAUACAACUAGGUACCAGGGGACUUGGGGAAGAAGAAGGAAAAAGAAAAUCUUUAAAAAAAAAUUAGAGACUAUUUCUCUCCUCAUUAUUAAAUCUGAGGUUGUCUUUACCUCAACACUUUAAAAUCUUAAAUGAUGAAUUUAUCCACAAAAAAAAAAUCUUAUAAAAAUAUUUUGUCUCAAACUGCUUAGGUUAUUAACUCCCUAUUUUCAAGAGACGUUCCUUUAUGUUGCCAGAAAAGUCAGCUUGUUGUAUCACGGAAUUCUGUUCCGUUAAAUUUUUUCAUUUGUUUUCCCGGACUCCAUCCUGCAGUGGUGAGUGAAGCGAGAAAUCAGAAAAAAGAGGGCAGGAAAGCAGAUGUAAAUGCACAUGCCGACCUUGAAGGCGCCGCCUCAGCUCUAGACGCAGCUGGACGCAGAUGCAGCUGGACCGAGUUGCUAUCAGGGCUCAGACCCCUCCGCUGGGCGGCGGGUCGGAGUCCUCGUGCUUCAGGAACACUCCCACCUCCUUGCUCUAGUAUCUCGUUCCUCUCCUUGUUACCCAGGAAGUCUAACUGCCUAUAUUUAAGGCAACAAUUCUGUGGCCCUCAGUCUUUCAGCAAUAAGAAACAAGAGUGAGACUUGUGUGAUGAUAUGAUUAUCCCAGGCUAUGUAAAACCUUGUUUAUAAAACUAUUCACGGCUUAAGGAAAAUUUUCCUUGUCAUAAAAAAAAUUCCUCUGAUUGUUCAAUCAGUUGGUAUUUUAGAAACCUGGAACCUCCUUAUGAAGUGCAGUAUGGCUAAAAGGGCUUAAAACUUACCAUUUAUUGAUACAAUUGCAAGUGAAUUUCAUCAGAAAUCAUAAUAGCGAUACCAUGUAUUAAUCAUUCAUUCUCUACUACAUACUGUGCCCAGUGCCCUCUAUGUGACCUUAAUUAAUACUUAUAAUAAUAUUUUGAGUAAAGGAGUUAUUCUCAUAUCACAGAUGGAGAAGCUGAGGUUUAGAAAGUAGCAAUAUGUUCUAUGUGGCUAGAAAGUGCUGGAGCCAGAAUGCAAACCCAGAAUGUGGGCCCUAAUCUCUGACUUCAACUCACAUUAAAUGACACAUUUUGGGAAAUCUUUUGAUUGUCUCCAAGAGAAAGAUGUUUUUGAAGUAAGAAUAUUCUACAAUUUUCUUUCUGAAGCAUUAAGGGAAAGUAUUUAUGCUCAUUGAUUUUCUGCCCAAUGUGCAGACAUUAAAAAGAUAAGCACAAUGUGAAGUUUAUGUUGUGCCAGUUUUUUAGCAGUCAGCUAUUACAGGAUUCCCAAACUGGAAAAAAUAAACUGGCUUGGGAUGAGUAAGAAUCCAGGUCACUUUUGAAAUAUCUCAGUGGUUUUUUAGCUAUUUUUAAGUUAAGAUAUUUUGUUCUGAUGUAGUGAUGUAAGUAGAACAUAGUCCAUGGUCACAGAGCUUAAAAAUUCUCACAAUGCGCCCAGAAAAAGUUCAUUAUUCCUCCCAUCUUGUGUACUAAAGGAUAGACAUAUUGCAAUACGUCGGUACGGAUUAUAACAUAACAGCGACCCUUUACCGAGCGCCUCCCGCACGCCAGCUUUCACUGAACUCUCCCAGCGACUCCGGGAGGCAGACACCCGCGCGUCCCGGGAGACGCGACCGGGGGCUCCGCGCUUCCCCGCGCACCAAGUGAUGGAAGCCGGGCCUGCCUGGAGCCCGGCGCUCUGCGCCGUCUCCUUCUGUGCUGUGUUUCCGUGUUAAACAUACUGUAUGUUGCCAUUAUGUUUAAACAUUUAUUUUCUGGAGUUGUUUUCCACGGCGACCAAAAUAGAUCACCUUAGCUUAAGUUUCUUUAAUUAUCCAAUCGGUUCGGUAGCAUUUUUGGUUUUUCUUUCUUUCAGCACAGAAUAAUCGUGAUGUUAUAUUUUUUUUCAGUUCAACCUUUCAUUUACUCAGUAAACAAUCAUUCGGCAAAUGCUAGUACUAUCUGUAAACCCCUUUUGCUGGGCGUUUAGGGGAGUUACAAAGACUCUGUUAGUGCCUUCAAGCACCUAAGGGAACUUGAAGCAGGGUCGUUGUAUCCGAGUAAGGCUCACUUGAGUAACACGGACAACUGACUGCAGUGCAGGAUAAAGUAUUACCAUAAAAUAGUUGAGAAUUAGGCACUGUAGGAGUUGAAAGAAGGGAUUCAUUUUUAUCGGGAUAGAGGGCAGGAAAGAUUCAUAAAGGAAAUGGAACUGGGAUGGAAUUAAGGCGGCCUAAAGGGUGACUAUUUGCUCUCAGAGAUAUUACAUUCAGAAGGGACCUUCGAUACAUUGUACCUGAUUCUCUCAUCCUAAAGGAGAGAGCACUGAGAACCAGAAGGUUAAUUGAUUUCCCAAGGUCACACUCUCCCAUCUGUAAACCCCACUUCAAUUCCAAACGCGAAUGCUUUCUUAGUACUUUUUUCAAAUAGUUUUCACAGAUUGUCCUGAAUUCAGUAUUGGUUACCUUGCUCACAUCUUAGAUACUCUCAAGAAGCAAAUAAAAUAAAACAGACCUUUAGUAAUUAGCAAAAAUCAUUAAUAAAAAGUAAUGCUGACUAGGCAAAUCUGAGGUAGAGUCUCAGAUUUAGUGCCAAGUCAGGCUUGGGAGGGAAGAGGAAGUAGCAGAUGGAGUGUCAUGCUAGAAGUGACAGCAGGUGGGAACAGGUAAUAGCAGACAGAUGGGCCCCGUAUUGUGGGAAGACCACCAGCAUCACAUUUUCCACUGCUUUGUCCCCACAUAGUAAUAAGAUUCACUAUAGUUCAUUGGAAAAAUCUUAAUAAGCACAAACUCUCACAAAGGUAUAAUGCUGGGUAUCAUAAAGGGAAAGUGUAAAAAUAAGUCUGUUUCUGUUCUCACACUUUCUACUAAAGCUCAAGAAAUGUAGGAAAUGUAAAACAAGUACAAAAAGAGAGCAAUGUAACACAAAAGAGGGCAAGUAAAUGCUAACAGAGAAAUACAGAUAAAGCACUUGUGGAGUGGUGGCACUCAAGAUGAGUCUAGUCCACAGGGGUGAAGGGGCUGGAAAAGCAAGAGGAAGUGCUCCAGAGAAAGGGAAGCUCAGAGGCAGGCACAUGCCGGCGAGGAUUUGCUUACUUCCAAACGGCACAAUACGGGUAUAGACAGGCAGAUAUGUGUCAUGGGGAGCUAGCUAAUAAGGUGGUAAAGUCCCCCAACCAUCACUUUGUGGCUGGGAACAAGUCACAAACCUCUCACAACUUCCAUUUCUUCAUUUCUAAAAUGAGCUCGGUUCCACAAUUCCUUUUAGGUUGCAGAGUUAGUAGUCUCUAAUCAAGAAUCUUCUUAAAUGUGUUAAACUGAUAUUUCCCAAAGUAUGGGACAUAUUUGCUACCAGUGGAAUGCAAAUUUUAAGUGAUAUAUAUGUAAUAUUUAUGUUAAUAAUUACAUAAUCUUCAUAGAGUGUCCUAUUUAAAGCAUGUGAUACUGAUUUGCAUUUUUUGUAGUGUUAGAAGUUUACCUUUAAAAUUUUUAAAUGAAAAAUGUGUACCAAGUUGUAGAAAAAACUUGAGUAUUUCCAUUAUGUGUUACAUUUCAAUUCAUACAAGUUUUGCAGUUCACACCAUAAUGCAGCUAUGCUUGCUUUACUGUAAAAUCCAUUCCUGGACUCCUUCAUUCAUUGAACAAGUAUUUGUAGAGUGACAACUGCAUGGCCUACUCUAGUCCAGUGGUGAUAAUUUGGUAAACAAAACAAACAAAAAUCUUUGCCCUUGUAGAACUGACAUUCUUGAGAGGUGAUGUUACCAGACCAAAUGUGGGCCCCUUCUUGAGGGUUAAAUCAAACUGGACUGAGGCAGUUGUCUCACAAAGCAGAAAUUUUAUUUGCAGCAUGCAGCAAAGAAAAUGGAGACCACAGGGAAUAAUUCACAAAGCUAUAGCUCCGCAAGCAUGGGAGGUGGGUACCUUUAUUUAGGGUAGGAAUGAAUAUUCAGAGGGGAAGUUUCAUCAUCACAUGUAGAGGUGGGCAUAAGCUUACACAUGCAUAGUUUGAAAUCGUGCUUUUACAUAUAUCGCAUGAUCUAAAAAUGGCUGCUCCGCCCCUCCCACAGGAGGGGAAUUUACGAGGUUAAUAAGGGCAGGUUACUUUGGUACAACUCUGAGCCCAUCCGUGCAGGUGCCAGUCUUGUGGUUGUGGUCCAGGCCAUCCUGGGCCGGUUCAGUGCAGCUGGUUUCAUGGCGGUUGUCACUUAGAGCUUCUUCCCGGAACACAGCUGAAAACCGCAUAAGCGCAAGCCCCCAAGGUAUUAGAUAAAGGAACACUUUCACCUUGCAAGAAGACAGAAGAAUUAGGUCAAACAUAAAAGCUGGAUUUUUUUUUUCCUUCUUCUCCCCAAAGCCCCCCAGUACAUAGUUGUAUAUUCUAGUUGUAGGGCCUUCUAGUUGUGGCCUGUGGGAGGCCCCCCCAGCAUGGCUUGAUGAGCGGUGCCAUGUCCUCACCCAGGAUCCCAACAGACAAAACCCUGGGCCACCAAAGUAGAACUCGCGAACUUAAUCCCUUGGCCAUGGGGCCCGCCCCAGAAGUUAGAUUUUUAAGCAGGGCAAGAGAAGUGAGUUUUAAACAGGGCAAGAGAAGCAGGUUAGGGUCCAUGUCUGGCAACUGUGAGACUGACAAUAACAAUAAACAUGGUAAAUAAGUAAAUUACAUACAGUGUUAGUAGAUGUUAAGUACUAGAGAGAAAGAAUAGAUCAAGAUAAGACAGAUUGGGAAAGCCAAGAGUGUAUGUUAAAUGAUGGCCAGCACCAUUGGAAAGGUAACAUUUUAUCAAAAAUUGUCAAAGGUCAGGAGUGAGCCCUGACAAUGUCUAGGGGGAGGAAUAAUGUGCUUUACUUCUCACUGAGUAAAAUUAAUGUUCCAAGAAAGUGUGUCCUAACUCUCCUCAGGAUUCCUGCAGCCUGGACUUACACACAUCAUGGUGACAACACCAAUACCAGGGAAGGCAGAAACGAGAGAAUCUUUUUUGGGGGAAAAGGAGAGGACAGAGGAGGUGUGUUUUACGUGGAACAUAGUUUUAAAUACUAGAGAGACAUCCCAUGGAGAAACCCAAGUCGUUGGAAAUGUGGGUCUAAAACUUGGAGGUGAAUUUGGGUUUGAAGAAGUAGAUUUUGGAGUCAUUUCUGUAACUAUAAUAUUUAACACAGUGCCAUUGCCUAGAGAAAAGAGGUAAACAGAGCCUAGAAAAGGCCUUCUGUAAGGGACUGGCGGUGGGUAAAGGGGACUGAGACAACCAACUUGUAUUGAGGGCUCUGGCCCCAAGAUGGCAAGGCAGUUUGCAUACAUUAUAUGUUGACUGCAAAGGAGGUAAGCAUUGAAUAAGGAAUAAACAUUUGUCUUUCAAGAAGUUUUCCAGAAGAGGCAACACAGCAUAGUGGUGGUUAAAGGUGUGGUCUCUAAAGUAAGAGAGACCUGAGUUUGAAUACCCAUAGUGUGGCUUUAGGCAACUUACUUAGCUCUUUGACUCUUUCGGAGCCUGAGGCCAUGAUGUCCACAUCCUACACUGCAGGGUUGUUCUGAGGCUUCAGUGAGAAACUGUGUGUAAAGGGGCGGGCUCCAUAGUCAGCUCUCAGUAAGUGUUGGCUGUUGUUUCGGUAAAAUAAAGAGAUAACGUGGUAGCUUAAAAUAAUAACAAAUGAACAGAUUUUAUGGCUGUUAUUUAAAAAUAAGGGAAAUUUGAGCAUUUUUAUAGGGGAUUAUUUGCAAUGGGAGGAUAAACUUCAGCUAAAUAAGAUCUUUCAAGAUUAAACAAGUUUUUCUCGUUUUUGCAAUUAUUAUGCAAUUUGAAUAAGAUCAACUAUAGUUUGGUCUUUUAGUUCAGUGGUUCUUAUUCCCUCUUUAAAAAAGUUAGAAAUCCCCUUAAUGUAAACAAUGGCUGUUCUCUGCAAAAAAAAAAAAAAAAUGCAUAUAAACAUGCUAAAGAAUGCAUCCAGGGGCUGGCCCCGGGGCUGAGUGGUUAAGUUCGCGCGCUCCGCUGCAGGCGGCCCAGUGUUUUGUUGGUUCAAAUCCUGGGCGCGGACAUGGCACUGCUCGGCAAGCCACGCUGAGGCAGCGUCCCACAUGCCACAACUAGAAGGACCCACAAUGAAGAAUAUGCAACUAUGUAGCGGGGGGCUUUGGGGAGAAAAAGGGAAAAAAUAAAAUCUUUAAAAAGAAUGCAUCCAAAAUUUGGAAAUAAAGCAAAAGGACAAGUGGGCCAUUUCAAAGUUUUCUAGAACAGCAUCUAACAAGCCUGACUUUGGGGAUACAGCUUUGUCUGACUUACUAUUUACUAUUGAUUAGGGCCUAAAAGCUAUAAAGUUACAUCUUAACUUGCAGAAAAUUGAUAAAAUGGAAGUGAUUUUUGUCCAGUUGAGAUGCAAAUGAUUUCUCUCCAAAAGAGAAGAUAAUCUGAAAGGUUAUGCUCUGAUUGGCGUGCAGUACACUCACCAGCUUUGAAUCUAAUUUACCAAUCAUAUUCCAGCAUUCUUUCUUUUACUGACAUGAGUCUCUUAUAUCUUUCUUUGAACUGCUUUUGCCACCUUGCCGGUUCCCUCAUUAAUAAGGUAAGUAAAUUUUUCAUGCUCACUAUGUACUUGCGUGAGAGUUACAUUUCUGGCUUUUUAAAAUUAUGCUUUGGCAUAAUGUAUCAGUUAGUGCUUAAGCAAAACCAUGUGUAUAUUUAUUAUAUAUGUCUAUAUUAUAUUAAUAUAUAGUUAUUAAGAUAUAGUUUAUCACAGGGAUUUGACCUUAUCGCACUGUGGGAGCUGGUUAAGUGGUCUAAGUAAGAAUGUGAAGCUGUUUCUGUGUCUCCUGCUGGCACCUGAAGUCCACAGGCAGUUGGGAAAAGAAGAUGGAUGUGAAGGAGAGCAAGCAAAGACAAGCUGGAUGAAGGAGAAGCUGGUGUCUUCCAUCACGGAGCUGAAUACGCAUCUGGUCCAGGACUCAGGGAAGCUGAUCCAGCAGGAGGAUCUGGCAGGGGCCCAGCUGCUGCCCCAAGCCAACAAGAGCGAAGUCUGAAUGGGGGCCGGAGGGAGAACGAGGAUGGACAGGACGUCCCAGAAAGCCAUCGGCGCCAGGGCCAUGCCUCGCACCUGACCUGCACAGCAGGUGGCCCAGAGCUCAAGUCAAGCAGCGGCCAGUCCCGAGUCCCGCCCUCUGAGAGGGCGCAGGCCCGGACAACGCUGGCUCAAAUACGUGAUAAACAUCGCUCGUCGACUAUACACUCAACAACCAAAAUAAGUCUCUGUAUGGACUGAAAUAGAAAUGCAAGUAUAUUGAGUGCUGAAAAUAAAGCAAGAUGUUUCUGUUGGAGUGGAUCAAUGGAAGGAAGAACUCUCCUUUAAAAGAUCUCUUGAACAUAGAUGGAGGAAUGAUGAGUCGUGUUUAAUUAUUUAAGUAUGGAAUUCACCCAAAGGGCACUUGAUGCUUCUGGUCUAUUGGGAGAUACUGGAUGUGAAAGACAGCAAAAUCCCGGAACUGGAAAGGCCAGAUGAAGAAAAGUGUGUGGAAAGUAAACAAUGCAGUGAUCGGAGGCGUGUGUGCACUUUCCUUGGACUUUAGAUGGAAGAGGGUCAACAUGCCCUUUGUUUCCGUCUGUGUGAUUGACUCGCUCUGCGCCAUGCUUGCUAACUGAGACCUUCCUUCAGCUCUUCAGCUGAGCUGUGAGUGGCUUUGAGGGUUGGGAGGUCUCCCACUGAGGGGUCAGGGGUCGGGUCCUGUAUACUUUUUGAAGAGCAGGGGCAUUUGAGCAAAACAAAACUGGAGUUAAUCCCUGCUUUCCUAUUAGAAAAGUUGUGUUCUUUCUCUAUGCCUGUUUCCCCAUUUGUUAAAAAGUGAUAAUGGUAAUACAACUUAGUGAGGCUGUUGUGAAGAAUAAAUAAGAAAUUUGACAUAAAGAGCAAGCUGACAUUUACUAAGUUCUCAAUAAAUGUUGAUAAAUAUCUAAUUGAUCCACUACAACUCACAUAGGCUAGGAGUUUUUGUCUUUGCCUAAACAUUCUCGUGGCUUUUAUGCAAGCUUUUCUUUGUCCUGGUCUCCAAGUGGCAUGCUAACGGCAACUUUUACUGGCUCGCAAGAGCCGAUUAUUAAAUUUUUAGGAAUUUUGAGCUCUGGUUGUUAAAUACUGCCAAUAUUUAAAAAUAGAUGAAAAGAAACAUAUAAUUAAAUAAUUAUAUUUAAAACAAAGUUGAUAAAUACUCAAAACUCAUCACUUCCUAAUUAGUUCACUGGAUUUUACUAUUAUCUAUACUCUUGAGGUUAUGUCUAUUUUUAUCUGUGUGGUGAAAACAUGUGCCUCGCUUCCAAACUUGUGUUCAGUGACAUCCCUCUUGUGGCUUGAAAAGAGCCAAGUGGCUUGAAAACAGACAUCCCUCUAAGUGGCUUCUGUAGACCAUUGCUCCACAGAAAUACGCGAAUACUAAAUUCAAGACUUUUCCCAAAGAGCCAAUUAUUAAACACUUAUCAUAAUUUCGUGUUUAUUAAUUCUACACAUGGAAAAAUCGGAUUAAUUUUAUGUGAGAAUGUACAAAAAUUUAUUCUGAUAAGCUUUUUAUGCUGUGCAGGAGCCAACUCUAAAUGAGUCAAAUAAACUACAUAUUCUAGUGUAAUUCCUUCAUGAAUUAAAAAAGUGCAAACAACAAAAUUUCCAUUUUUAGUGAAAAUGAAAUUUCUGUAAAACAUGCCACUUAAUAAACUUCUAAAUGAAUGUGCAUUCAUCAAACAUUUUGAUUUUAACUGGCUAUUUUUGAAGUAUCUGAAAGUUUACCUAUUCUUGAUUUGGG
ensembl:lncRNA